rnacentral:tRNA from 1 species
ACGAAUUUAGUAUAAUAAGUACACUUACCUUCCAAGUAAAUAGUUUUAACCUAAAAAUUCGUA